GACGAACGCUGGCGGCGUGCUUAACACAUGCCAGUCGAACGGAAAGGCCCUGCUUUUGUGGGGUGCUCGAGUGGCGAUCGGGUGAGUAACACGUGUGUAACCUGCCCUUGACUUUGGGAUAACUUAAGGAAACUGGGCCUACUACCGGAUAGGAGCUCCCGCUGCAUGGUGGGGGUUGGAAAGUUUCGGCGGUUGGGGAUGGACUCGCGGGUUAUCAGCUUGUUGGUGGGGUAGUGGCUUACCCAGGCUUUGACGGGUCGCGGGCCUGAGAGGGUGACCGGCCACAUUGGGACUGAGAUGAGGCCCAGACUCGUACGGGAGGCAGCAGUGGGGAAUAUUGCACAAUGGGCGGAAGCGUGAUGCAGCAACGCCGCGUGCGGGAUGACGGCCUUCGGGUUGUAAACCGCUUUCGCCUGUGACGAAGCGUGAGUGACGGUAAUGGAUAAAGAAGCACCGGCUAACUACGUG
rnacentral:rRNA from 1 species